AAGGAGUCUAACAUCUAUGCGAGUGUUCGGGUGGCAAACCCCUACGCGUAAUGAAAGUGAACGGAGGUGAGAACCGCAAGGUGCAUCAUCGACCGAUCCUGAUGUCUUCGGAUGGAUUUGAGUAUGAGCAUAGCUGUUGGGACCCGAAAGAUGGUGAACUAUGCCUGAAUAGGGUGAAGCCAGAGGAAACUCUGGUGGAGGCUCGCAGCGGUUCUGACGCGCAAAUCGAUCGUCAAAUUUGGGUAUAGGGGCGAAAGACUAAUCGAACCAUCUAGUAGCUGGUUCCUGC
rnacentral:misc_RNA from 1 species